UCUUUUUCGGUGGUGAAUUAAUAUCAAUUGGUGAAUGUUAUGCUAGAUCGGGACCUUUCCAUACAGAGCGGUAUUAACAUUUUACGUAUACUAAAUAUAUUGUUUUAAUUAAAAACAAAAAAGGCAAUGUCAAAAGUAUAAAACAGUAUGUUCCUGAUCAUAUUCAAUUACUCUUUUAAAUUGUCAACAGAUCAGUUUUAUUUAUAUAGAAUUCUUCAUUUUAAUUUUUCUGAUCUAACACUAAAAGGAAUUAAAAUUGAAUGAAAAUGAGGAAUAUGUUAAAGAAACACCAAUCCAACCAAAGUGCAGACAACAGCCGAAAGGCUAACCUGAAUGGGUCUUCAACGCAGCGAGAAAUUUUUUGCAACCGGAGGUGGUGAUCAGCUGUCCCUUGAAUACAUUUGUGUACUAGUUCAGUGAAAAUGGACGUCAUACUAUACUUCUUGCUCGUUUGUGUUAAGUAAAUAAACUCAUCAUAGAUACCAGGACUUAGUUUUGUAUAUACGCCAGACGCGCGUUUCGUCUACAAAAGACUCAUCAGUGACGCUCGAAUCCAAAAAAAAAUAAAAAGGCCAAAUAAAGUACGAAGUUGAAGAGCAUUGAGGACCAAAAUGCAGGAAAUUGUUCACUACAAAAUCAAUAUGUUUUGAUAUGGUUAAUAUUUGUAUUUAUAACGUUAAAUGGGUUUCUACAUUUAUGUCAUAACAAACCUGAACACUCAAGCAAGUCAUAUCAAAUCUCAAAUGAAACUAUUUAAAUCACACUCUUUCUAGCGGCUUGAAAAAAUCCAUUUUUUUUAUUUAUCACUGAUUAUGAACUAUAAUUAAAAAAAAUAGGGGUCUCUUAUGCAAAGUUGACCUAUGAGGAUUUUGUCUAAUCGCUUCAAUUCCCUUUUGGUCAUACAUAUAGAUUGUAUGCAUUCCUGGCUUAAAAGGUUUAUGUUUCCUGAUGAAGGUACAUUGGUACGCGCUCCGGAAUUUUUAAAGCAUUAUUUUUUAUAUAGUAUUAUUUUUUUCAAUCAUACAAUUCGAUUUAAAUAGAUUAUACACAUUUCCAAAGGGAUAUGAAUGUGUUACACAUUUUGGUGUUAAAGAAAUCAAAAUAUGUGCAAAAGGCUUUUCAAUUUGACAAAGACAGCACAAUGCCAGUGAUAUUUCUCAUUUGCAUUUGUAUUAGGGUUGCAGUUAAUGAGACCCAUAAUGGAUAUUUUUGUUUGAAAGAUAUGAAUCUUGAUCCAAACGAUUCUGGUCUGCUCUAUUAUCUGAGUAAAUUUAGUGAGUAUCUUAUAUUUAGUUUUUGAAUUAUUUACUUUAAAAUUGCUUCUUCUUUUUAAAGAGGAAGUGUGCAAGCAAUUUAAUCCAUGUACAAAUAUAUCAGAUCUUUAAAUGUUUUGCUGUAUACAUUUUAUUCGUUGUUCUCAUACAUUUCAUUAAUAUUGGAAAAGGUCAGUAAAGUUGUUUACAUAUUAACGUGUGAUACUGAAAUACUGGCUUCUGGAAUAACCCUAUUCGUGUAUAUUAUAGACCACGCAUCCGAGACGUAACUCGUAAUCACAUAUACUUUGCCGUUGUGUAAUCAAUCAUUUUCUAAUCUGAACCCGAUCUUUACAAACACUAUCUUUAUUUAGUAAGAUAGACUGCAAUUUAUCACAAUAACAAUAAUUUGAUACCAACUUUUUGUACGAAACAGUGCUUUGAUGAUUUCUAAAUAUGAAAGUACUACAGAUAUAAAACUUAGAAGCAUUUAAAUCAGACAUUUCGGUAAUAAAUUAACCUUCUGACGUGCCUUCAUUAACUAGACAUUUCUUUUUUUCCGUUUAUCAUCCUUCUUUCUUUACUGUGUGUUUUAGCUUUACAACAUAUGGUCUAGAUAGGCUGGAAAAAAGAGCGCACGUUAAACUGGUUCAUCCAUACUACAAUUUGAGCAAUUAUCUUCACGCUAUUAAAACCAUGUGUUGUUCGUUUUCCUUUAUUUGAUAGUAUAAUUGGGUUUGUUUUGUUUUGUGUUUUUGUAGUAAGCAACUUUAGUUUUAUGCCUUUAAGAAAAUGUCUGUAUCUUAAAAGAAAAUUGAAGAAAAAAUAAAGCUGUUAAUCUGUUAAAAUAUAAUCGACAGAAUAUUAAGAAAAGAUAAAAACACAACAAACUUUGCAGAAAACAGUCAAAAGACAAAUAACAGUUAUCAUAGAAUACAACUGAGACAAUUAUAGUUUUUGACGCUAUAAAAGUACGGAGUAAACACAUCUGCUGUGGUAGUGUAACCAAUGUAUGGUCCAGUAGUUGUACCUUUUAAUGUAAAUCUUUUGCUAUUUCACGAAAUAGUGCAUAUCAACAAAACUAACAUAAAUAUAACUAUAUUACAGCGAUACUUGAAGGCAAUCCAACAAUCUGUGAUAUUUGCACGGGUUCUAAUUUGAAUGAUUUUGUUCUGG
rnacentral:lncRNA from 1 species